GUGCCCACUUCGGCAGCACACAUACUAAAAUUGGAAUGAUCCAGAGUGGAUUAGCAUGACCUCUGUGCAAGAAGGAUAACAUACAAAUGCAUGUGGGUCGUCCGGGCCUU